UACGAAGGGUGCAAGCGUUACUCGGAAUUACUGGGCGUAAAGCGUGCGUAGGUGGUUCGUUAAGUCUGCUGUGAAAGCCCCGGGCUCAACCUGGGAAUGGCAGUGGAUACUGGCGAGCUGGAGUGCGGUAGAGGGUAGUGGAAUUCCCGGUGUAGCGGUGAAAUGCGUAGAGAUCGGGAGGAACACCAGUGGCGAAGGCGGCUACCUGGACCAGCACUGACACUCAGGCACGAAAGCGUGGGGAGCAAAC
rnacentral:rRNA from 1 species